AUUUAUGAAUCUAUUUCUUAGGUUAUGGGCUGCAUUGUCCUGGUCUUGGAGUUUUGUGCUGGGGGAAAUCUAGCUUCAUACAUUCGACGUUGUGGCAGAGUUCAAGAAUGCACCGCUAAAAGAUUCAUGCAGCAGCUCGGAGCUGGUUUGAAGGUUUUGAGAUUACAUAACAUUAUCCACCGCGACCUGAAACCCGAAAAUAUUCUUUUAUCUUCUUGUGAAUGCGACCCAGUUCUAAAAAUUGCUGAUUUUGGACUUUCAAGGAUUUUACGUCCGGAUGAAUAUGCAGAGACUGUUUGUGGUUCACCAAUGUACAUGGCUCCAGAAGUUUUAGAGUUUCAAAGAUAUGACGAAAAGGUCGACAUGUGGAGCAUUGGUGCAAUUCUUUUUGAACUUCUCAAUGGCUGCCCUCCUUUUCAUGGUCGGAGUAGUGUCCAGCUUCUACAGAAUAUCAAGGCCUCUACAUCCCCUCCUUUUUCUCAACUAGUUCUUCCACAGUUGCACCCCGACUCUAUUGAUUUAUGUACAAGAUUAUUGUCGACAAAUCCAGAUAAUCGUUUGUCCUUUGAUGAGUUUUAUCAGCACAACUUCUUACAAAUUGGGAAAUGAAGCGUAACCUCCGAAGAUAGAAGUUAACAAUACAGAAUCUUAUCAGUACAAGGACAGCCUCUAACAAACAUAGCAGGAAGGUCAUCUUAUUGGGCAGCUAUGGAGUUGAAGUUAUAUGCUAGCCCUCUAUAAUUAGUACUUGUUUGGAAGAGAUUGAAUGAUAAUUUAGUGCUUGUUUGGUAAGAAUUUUGAUAAUUGAUUUUUGGACUGUUAGAGAUAAAGUUGGUUCUAUCUGUGAGAGAAGAAUUCAAAAAUAAUGGCUGAAAUAGUGAAAUAACAGUCAAAAAAUUGAUUUUUAA